UAGGGAAUCUUCCGCAAUGGACGCAAGUCUGACGGAGCAACGCCGCGUGAGUGAAGAAGGAUUUCGGUUCGUAAAACUCUGUUGUUAGAGAAGAACAGCGCAUAGAGUAACUGUUAUGCGUGUGACGGUAUCUAACCAGAAAGCCACGGCUAACUACGUGCCAGCAGCCGCGGUAAUACGUAGGUGGCAAGCGUUGUCCGGAUUUAUUGGGCGUAAAGCGAGCGCAGGCGGUCAAUUAAGUCUGAUGUGAAAGCCCCCGGCUCAACCGGGGAGGGUCAUUGGAAACUGGUUGACUUGAGUGCAGAAGGGGAGAGUGGAAUUCCAUGUGUAGCGGUGAAAUGCGUAGGUAUAUGGAGGAACACCAGUGGCGAAGGCGACUCUCUGGUCUGUAACUGACGCGGAGGCUCGAAAGCGUGGGUAGCAAACAGG
rnacentral:rRNA from 1 species